GCACUACCUGGGGGGCGCCCCACUAUUAUUUAGCGGCCUGGCGGGGGGCCGGUUUCUGCCUCGGUUGCACCGACGAACCUAAAUUUAAAGCAAUAAGCAAAAGGGAGACCGGUCGACCCCUUAAAAUCUGUGCACAGAGUCCGGACGAAGACGCGGGACGCGUACAACCCGGAGAGUGGGUGCUGAUAAGAAGUUGGAAAGAAAAUCCCCUAACACCGAAGUGGGAGGGGCCGUAUCAAGUCUUACUAACAACUGACUCUGCAGUUCGAACAGCGGAAAAAGGCUGGACACAUGCGAGUCGAAUAAAAGGACCUGUGAGACCACCAAAAUCUAAUAACUGAGAAGUGGGGAGCCCGGCUGGGGACUUGAGACUUAAGAUAUCCCGAACAAAAUAACAUCCCAGAACUAUUAAUUGGCUUAGAAACUUAUGAAUAAUAAAUUACAUAGAGGCUUUUAUAUAGAAUAUAAGAUACCUCCAUCUAGUGGUGAGGAAAUAUAUAAUAGAGGUGUUAAAAUAGGCUGUACGUUAUGCCAAAAUUGUUACCCUUUUGUCUGUUUUAAAUGUAUAAUAUGUAAAGAACUCUGGUGGACCCACUGUCAUAGAGGCUACCCACCAAGAGGCGUGUGUAGCUCUUGCUACACUGCCCAGAGGGAUCUCACUGAUUGGGCUCUAGUAACUAGAAUACAAGCAGGAGAAUUU